GAGGGUGGAGCUCAGUGGUAGAGUGUGUGCUUAGCAUGCACAAGGUCCUGGGUUCAAUCCCUAGCACCUCCA
rnacentral:tRNA from 1 species